AAUAGAUACCCAGGUAGUCCACCCCGUAAACGUUGGGAACUAGUUGUGGGGUCCUUUCCACGGAUUCCGUGACGCAGCUAACGCAUUAAGUUCCCCGCCUGGGGAGUACGGCCGCAAGGCUAAAACUCAAAGGAAUUGACGGGGACCCGCACAAGCGGCGGAGCAUGCGGAUUAAUUCGAUGCAACGCGAAGAACCUUACCAAGGCUUGACAUACACCAGAACACCCUAGAAAUAGGGGACUCUUUGGACACUGGUGAACAGGUGGUGCAUGGUUGUCGGCAGCUCGUGUCGUGAGAUGUUGGGUUAAGUCCCGCAACGAGCGCAACCCUCGUUCUAUGUUGCCAGCACGUAAUGGUGGGAACUCAUGGGAUACUGCCGGGGUCAACUCGGAGGAAGGUGGGGAUGACGUCAAAUCAUCAUGCCCCUUAUGUCUUGGGCUUCACGCAUGCUACAAUGGCCGGUACAAAGGGCUGCAAUACCGUGAGGUGGAGCGAAUCCCAAAAAGCCGGUCCAGUUCGGAUUGAGGUCUGCAACUCGA
rnacentral:rRNA from 1 species